GGGCCCUUCGCUUAGCAUGGACAGAGCGCUUGCCUCCGGCUCAAUAGAGGUCGUGAGUUCAAAUCUCACAGGGCCCG
rnacentral:tRNA from 1 species